UCAAAAAGAAACAUGAAAGAUUCAUCUGUUAUUAGCCACGAUAUGUUUUUUAUAGGAAAAAAAACUCAGUCCUGUCCAAAUAGAGCACGUACUGAGAAUGGAACCUAACAUGCAUGCUGCUGCUGCAAACAUAAAAAAACGAAACUACUUUGCUCAUACCAUUGCCAUGCUCCAACGGUGGAUCAUUGAGAUCAAAAAAAUUGUUGCCAUCAUCGUCGUCAGGCUCUACCAUUUGAAACUCAGCAUUGCCGUCGCUAUCGCCAUCUUCAGGCUCUGUGAUUUGAAACUUUACUAAUAUGAAAGUGGUUGACGAGUCUAGAAACCAAAAUCAAAGCGUCACUGUUGCAUUACUGUUGUCGUCGUUGAGAUCGAAGGGAAGAUUCCCAUCCUCAUCUUCUAACCGAACGUUGAGAUCAUAGCCAGGGAAAAAAUCAUCCAUUGCACAAGCUAGAAAGCAUGGAAAGGUGGAGAAAAAGCAAGCAAGGAAGCGUGAUGUACUAGAUGAAAAAGCAAGCAAGCAACGUGGGCAGUCCAAGCGUUUAAAUAAAGCAGCAGCGAGAUCUAAGUCCAAGCGUAGAGAGAUCGACCACAUUAGCGCCAAACUAGUAGUAGUAGUAACGAAAAAAUGAGCGCACACCAUAAGCAAACAGCGAAAAAAACGGCCAAAGGAGCACGAACGGCGAAAAAUUGCGUCCAGAAACGCACCUAGGCGCUAGCGCGAAGCGCCAGAUCGAUGCCAUGCAAAAUCGGCACAGUACCAUGCAAAGUCGCCAGCAGCAAAAAAUGUGCCGCCCAGGGUCAAACCCUGCCCACUGGGUUCCAGACGUGACUGUCUAACCAGUUUGACUACUAAUGAAUUCUGUAUAGGAGAUAUCCGCAACCCUAUUUAAUAAGGUAAACAUGACGCCACCUAAUUAAUGACACCUUAGUAAGCACAAUCAUGUCCUAAACAACUUCUAAUUCCUAUAUGGAGCGAGUAUAUGUAUAUAUUCAGCCAUCAAUAGGUUACAUACUAGGGCAUCAGACCAUCAGUACAUACCUCGUGUGUCUAUGGGACAGCGCUAUACCGAUGAGAGAGGACAGCGGCCACCUGCACGCCCAUGAUUUAUCUCCACAACUAGCUCUCUAUCCAUCUGCCAUAACAAC
rnacentral:lncRNA from 1 species